CGGGUGUAGUUUAGUGGUAAAAUAAAAGCCUUCCAAGCUUUGGUUGCGGGUUCGAUUCCCGCCACCC
rnacentral:tRNA from 1 species